UACGAAGGGGGCUAGCGUUGCUCGGAAUCACUGGGCGUAAAGCGCACGUAGGCGGAUUGCUAAGUCAGGGGUGAAAUCCUGGAGCUCAACUCCAGAACUGCCUUUGAUACUGGCGAUCUUGAGUCCGGGAGAGGUGAGUGGAACUGCGAGUGUAGAGGUGAAAUUCGUAGAUAUUCGGAAGAACACCAGUGGCGAAGGCGGCCACCUGGACGGUAACUGACGCUGAGACGCGAAAGCGUGGGGAGCAAACAGG
rnacentral:rRNA from 1 species